CACAAAAACAAUGUAGCACAAAAAAACAUUGAACAGAACGAAAACAUGAUUUUUGUUCGACCAAAAAUGCCGGAAGAGCAAUCGUCAGUUGUGGCUAAACGACACGACGAAAAUUGUUUUGGAUGUCGUCUAGUGUCGGGUGGUGGUCUCUUGGGAAUCGCGGCGUAUCUUGUGCAUCAGACUCGACAAAAGGGCAAACACAACACAAGGAUAUACAAAACAUGUUUGAUCGCAAUCAGCUUCGGCUUUGCUGGGAUAGGUCUCGCAAGAAUAUUCGACACUUACCCUUUCAAAAAGACAAGUAGUAUUGAGACAAAUCAAAAAAUAUAAAUAGUUUUAAUGUA